rnacentral:rRNA from 1 species
UACGUAGGGUGCAAGCGUUGUCCGGAAUUAUUGGGCGUAAAGAGCUCGUAGGCGGUUUGUCGCGUCUGCUGUGAAAACGCGAGGCUCAACCUCGCGCCUGCAGUGGGUACGGGCAGACUAGAGUGCGGUAGGGGAGAUUGGAAUUCCUGGUGUAGCGGUGAAAUGCGCAGAUAUCAGGAGGAACACCGGUGGCGAAGGCGGGUCUCUGGGCAGUAACUGACGCUGAGGAGCGAAAGCGUGGGGAGCGAACAGG